CAGGAAUUGUUCCAACAAAUAUUUGGCAACAUGCACCAAUCAGGUAUAUUACAAGGAAACUCAAUCACAGGAUCUCAUCACCAGCUGAUGGUGUACUAGCAGCCUGCUUAAAGUUGUUUCUGUGGUUGUGAUUGACUCUGACUACUGGAAGAACAAGUUAUAAAGUUGUAAUGAAAACCACAAGAAAAGAUGACAUCUAUCAGCCAGAGCUGGGGAAUCCCAACGUCACUCACUCCUGCUCAGCACCACUGCCUGUGAACAGCUCCCCUCUGCACACUGGGGCAGCUUUAGGUUGCCCUGGUGAAAGGGAGGGAGAAGGAGAAAAAAAACAAGUCUGACUAAAAGAAACUUUGAAAAAUACAGGCGGUAAGCUGAUAAGCACCUCAUCCUAGCAGCUUGGGCUCUAGCAACCAUUGGCGCCCCAGCCACACAACAGAAUCACCUUGAAACAUUCAAAUUAAAGAGGAGUGACAGACUAUAAAUUACCGGUGUUAUGAAACAUGACAAGGUGGAGAGUCGAAAACAAUCCAGUUAACCCAAACAAUUCAGUUCACACUGGCUGGCUGGAUUCUAUAGGCUCCAGGCGAUCUUAUUUGUAUCUAGAGUGUGUUGUCAUGUGCAGCCAUGGUAAUACAGGGGCUGGGAAGAGAUCUUGCCUCCUUUCUAUGAUAAGGUAAUCAACGGAUUGCCAGAAUGAUUGCAAUCUGACUAGAACAGAAAGGACCGAAAUAGCCAGGCUGUCCACAUAAGGUAACCAAGAUAGUUAUCUGAUCUGUCAAA